rnacentral:rRNA from 1 species
AGAUUGAACGCUGGCGGCGUGCUUAACACAUGCAAGUCGAGCGGCAGCGCGGUAGCAAUACUGGCGGCGAGCGGCGAACGGGUGAGUAAUGCUUCGGAAUCUACCUUGUAGUGGGGAAUAACCUGGGGAAACUCAGGCUAAUACCGCAUACGUCUUUCGAGAGAAAGCGGGGGAUCGCAAGACCUCGCGCUAUUAGAUGAGCCGAAGUCGGAUUAGCUAGUUGGUAGGGUAACGGCCUACCAAGGCGACAAUCCGUAGCUGGUCUGAGAGGACGACCAGCCACACUGGGACUGAGACACGGCCCAGACUCCUACGGGAGGCAGCAGUGGGAAUAUUGGACAAUGGGGGAAACCCUGAUCCAGCGACGCCGCGUGUGUGAAGAAGGCCUGCGGGUUGUAAAGCUACGUUUAGUGGGAUGAAACGCUCAGACCUAACACGUCUGGAAUUGAACCUAACCAAAGAAAAAGCAACCGGCUAACUCUAGUCGCCAGCAGCCGACGUAA